GGAUGUGAGAUUCAAACUGCUUCAAGUUCCUCAACUUCUCCACAAGCACAGACUGUAACCGGGAAUGGUCAGCCAAAUAAACCUUUCACUUCUACGUUCCUUUCAUAGACAGGAUUUAUCACAGCAACAGGAAGCUGGACAAAGACAGGACUUGAGUUAAAAGAUUAGUGGCUUCCCCCUUAUGCAUAAGGGGAUGGAAUAAUCCUUCGUUUGCUCCAGCGUUUGCCGAAAUUCUGCUCGGGAGAAAAACAAGCCUCAGUCAUGACUCCGGUUCUUGCAGUUAUGCCUUCUCUGCCUUGAUGUACUAUCCUCUCCAACACUGUAAGUGCAAUAAACCUUCUCCCUUUAAAGUUGUUUUUGUCCGAGUAUUUUACCACAGCAAUGGGGAAGAAAGUACUAAAAUUGGUAAGCAUUUUAUCCUAUCGGUAUCAUAAUUUGCUUCUCUGUGAUGUGAGGAUUUUGAUUGCUAAAAGAUUAGCAUUAGACAUGAUGCUACGUGUUAUCUAAUUUGGUCAAGAUGAAAACUCAAUGUGAUUUU
rnacentral:sRNA from 1 species